UACGUAGGGUGCGAGCGUUAAUCGGAAUUACUGGGCGUAAAGCGUGCACAGGCGGUUUUGUAAGUCUGUCGUGAAAGCCCCGGGCUCAACCUGGGAAUUGCAUUUGAAACUGGGGAACUAGAGUGUGUGAGAGGGGGGUAGAAUUCCAAGUGUAGCGGUGAAAUGCGUAGAGAUUUGGAGGAAUACCAGUGGCGAAGGCGGCCCCCUGGCACACUACUGACGCUGAGGUGCGAAAGCGUGGGGAGCAAACAGG
rnacentral:rRNA from 1 species